ACUAAGUUUGUUCUGGGUAUAAGCUUUCGUGUGUGUAUAUGAAGAAGGGUGCAUACACACAAAAGCUUAUACCCAGAGCAAACUUAGU